UACGGGGGGAGCAAGCGUUGUUCGGAUUUACUGGGCGUAAAGGGCGGGUAGGCGGCCACCGCAAGUCAGUUGUGAAAUCUCUGGGCUUAACCCAGAAAGGUCAACUGAUACUGCGGGGCUAGAGUGCAGAAGGGGCAACUGGAAUUCUCGGUGUAGCGGUGAAAUGCGUAGAUAUCGAGAGGAACACCUGCGGCGAAGGCGGGUGCUGGGCUGACACUGACGCUGAACUGCGAAAGCUAGGGGAGCGAACGGG
rnacentral:rRNA from 1 species